rnacentral:lncRNA from 1 species
AAAUUAAAUUUCGACCUUUGCCUGAUCAACUUAGUCUCUCCUAGGUUUGACUAGUCAAAGGCCGAAACUGUAAUUUAUUUCGGGCUUUGACUAAGACCGUCAGUCAGAUCUGAGGAUUGCCUAGUCAAUCCUAGGAGUGCCUGAAAUUCGGGCUUUGACUAUAACAUAUACAUAAUAUGGACUUAAAAGACAAAAAGUUGCAAAAAUACGUAAAUAAGUUAGUUAUUUGAAAUGUGAUGAUACAAAACGAUGCUUAGUAUAGCAUGAACGCACAAAAAAAACAAACACGGAAGUAUUUUUGGAGAUAGACAAAGUAAGAACAUUGGUGUAUAAACACAAUAAAAGUAAGACAGUGAUAUUUAUGUAAUGAGAUGCCACUGACAUAAAAAGAUCAGGUAAAUAAUACAAGGAAAGGUAUGUGGAAGGAGUAUUGGAAAGAAAGACAGAAAUUUGUGUAAAUCUAGUUGACUAGAACUUUUCCAAAAUCUUUUGCUAUCUUUCAACCUCUGAUUGACAGAAGAAUUUGGUUUUAUAUAAGCUAUAUCCUCUAUUUCUUACAAGAUAAUUAUUAAAAGAUUAUCAUGUGUUGGAUAUUUUUAAAUAUGCGUAAUAAAAUAGCUUUGUAUAAAACAUUUCUUAUUUAUCUAGUCUUCCUUUAUAAUGUUAUAUAAUAUUGUGUUACCAAAAAAUUGUAACUUAUCAAAGAAGCAAUCUGUAAUUAUUCGAAAUUUCUAACAUUUACAUUUUCGUCAUUUAAGUCUAAACAUAGUACCUACCUACCAAGUCUAUUUCCACAAUUGCCGACUAUAUUAUAAUACAUAUGGUGUCCCAAAAAUUAGCGGGACGGUCGAAUAUCUCGCGAAAUAUACAUCGCAUCAAAAAACUUAAAGUAAGUUUUCAAUAAUUUUCAAAAAUCUAUCGAAUGACACCAAACACGACACCCCCCACCACACCCUUUAAGUGGGGUGGGGGUAAUUUUAAAAUCCUAAAUAGGAACCCACAUUUUUUAUUGCAGGUUCGGAUUUCUUACAUAAAAAUAAGUAACUGCUAUUCCGGACAUUUUUUCGAAUUGUUGAUAGAUGGCGCUACAAUCGAAAAGACAUAUAUAUCCUGAAAUAACCUAGGUAAAUUAUAGAAAUGGUCUAAUAUCUCAAGAAAUAUACUCCCAAAGGACAAACCAAAAAAACACGUCUAUAAUAUUUUUCAAAAGCCUAUCGAAUGACUCUAAACACGACCCCACUUCACCCCCUGGAGGUAUGGUGGGGGAUAACUUAAAGUCUUAAAUAGAAACCCCCAUUUUUUAUUGCAGAUUUGAAUACCCCAUGAAAAAGUAAGUAACAUUUAUUCGAGACAUUUUUUAAAUUCGUUGAAAAAUGGCGCUAAUAAAUGGUAUUUUUUCAAUUACAGCGCCAUCUACCGUCAAUUCUAAAAAAUGCCUCGAAUAAAUAUUCCUUAUUUUUUAUGAGGAAUCCAUAUCUACAAUAAAAAACCGAGGUUCGUAUUUAAGAUUUUAAAAUUACCCCCACCCCACCUCCAUGGAUGGAGCGGGUGGGUCGUGUUUAGUGUUAUUCGAUAGGUUUUUGAAAAAUAUUGAAAACAUGUUUUUCGGUUUCUUUAUUUGGAAGUGUAUUUCUCGAGAUAUUAGACCGUUUCUAUAAUUUACUUAGUGUAUCAGGAUAAAUCGUUUUUUCCGAUUAUAGCGCCAUUUAUCCACAAUUCGAAAAUAUGUCUUAAUUAAAAUGUUACUUAUUUUUACGUAAGAAAUCUAAAUCUGCAAUAAAAAAUUUUAAUUCCUAUUUAAGAUUUUAAGUUACCCCCACCACAUCUCCAAGGGGCGGAGUGGAGGGGGGUGGUUGUUUAGUAUAAUUCGAUAGAUUUUGAACAAUAUUGAACACGUAUCUUUCAGUUUUUCGAUCAGAUGUUGGGACACCCUAUAUAUUAACGAAAAACAAUUAAGAUUACUGUUAAAUCACUUAAGAAUUUCGAAUAACUACUCAGUUAUCAUUUUCUAUGUUAGAUUAGUGCAACGAAUAUUGUAUAUUUCUUAUCAAAUUCUCUCUUCCCUUCUCUUCUCAGUACCUGUGUAGAGACACUGAACUGGAAUUAAAUCUUUUCAUCUCUUCGAUGUAAUUAGUAAAAAUUAUUAUCUUUGGUAGGUAUUUUAAUAAUUACACCGAAGAGACGAAAAUAUUUGAUUCAACUUCAGUGCCUCUGCACAAGUGAUCCGAUGAGGCUAAGUUAAAGCCGAAAUACGUAUAACCACACAGUGGAGGCCCUGUUCUAUAAUCAAAUCUGAAUCAUCGUUACUUUCAUUUUGUUUAUAUUCACUUUUGUGGGUAUGAAAGGAACUAGUUCGCUAGAGAUUGUUAUCCCGGUGAACGAUAGGUCGUGGAUGCAGUUACCCUAAUAACACCAAACAUUUCAUGUAUGUUCCUAGAAUGUACACACAGGACAUUGAAAACAUUCCAGGAAUGUCCUCAAAAGCACAAGAACAUUCCCUAAAUGUCCCAGGAAAGUCAUCUGUCAGCAUUUUAAACAUUCCCUGAAUAUCUUAUUGGAACAUUCCAUGAAUGUCUACGAAUGUUCUUUGGACAUUCACAGCAUAUUUUUUAGACAUUCCCUGGAUAUAGUCGCUGAUGUGACAUAAUACCUCCGAUUUGUUUUUUCGUGAGUUUUGUAAGAGAGACUAAAAACUUUUUUUACAGUCACCUCCUGUUUUCAUAUGAUAUUUUUUGACAUGUUUUGUAGUAAAUUCAACUAUCUAUUUACUACAAAACAUGUCAAAAUUUACAUGUGAAAACAGGAGAUGACAAUAAAAAUGGUUUUUCGUCUCCUACAAAAUUCAUGAAAAAGCAGAUAGGAGGUAUUGUCACAUCACCGACGAUAUACCAGAAGUAUAUGUGGCCAUACCAAAUAAAACAUCCUUGAUAAAUAUAAACAUUUCUAUUGCACAAAAUCUUGUCAUAUAUUUUUUCCCAUAAUCAUCACUACGAUAAUGAUUCAUUGUAUUGAAUUGUACAUUACAAUUACAAUCUGGUCAUAACUGACCAAUGAGCAAUUUUAAUUUAACUUAAAUUACUACUGUUCCUUAAAAUGAAGAGCUUACCCCAUAGCGUCUCUUAUCUAAUCUAACAAGAUCCUGCACUAUUCUAACAUACACAGGCACACAAGCACUAUGCUCUGCUUUUCUCGUACUUAUGAAGUUGUUGCUCGUGAUUUCCUGCCAUCUUCUUGAUGAUUAUAUCCAGGUUCCAUUCCUAGGUUCUUAUGGAGAUCACUGUUACAUACCAAGGAGCAUCUACAAUAUAUCUCAGUAUUUUGUUCUUGAUUCUUUGUUUAAUUUUUAUAUUACUUGGUCCAUACAGGUCUUAAUAUUUGUUGAUAAAGUAAACUUAUUAUGCAUCGACAAUGUGGAGUUUCUUCCAACUAGCCAAUACACUUUUUAUAUCUUUUUUUGGUUAUAUCUGGUUUUUUUGUAGACCACUUUCAGCUGAUUCUAAAAAAAUUAAAAUGAAUGGUAAUUUUUCUAUUCUUUACAAUUAAAAAUCAAAAGAAAUAGGUACUAUUUACAGGUAAUAAUAUGCAUAAAUAAUUCGUUUCAUAAAGAAUAAAGAAAAUUGAAAACGGAUUUUAUGAUACUUACAUAAUUGUUUAAACAAAAGAGAUCCAGCCAGAGCAGAGCAAAACUAACAGACAGGACAGCAAAAAAGCCACUAAUUUCCAUUUUCCAGAAAUUUUUAGACACGCGCGGCAAAUUUAAAAGUGAACGCAAAUUGAAUAGUAAAUGGGCUCUCUUAAAACAUAGGCAUUGGUAGGAUGUUCAUAGAAUGACUUGUGGUAACAUUCCACUAAUAAUUUAAUCAGAUGUUUACCGAAUGUUCCUUGAAUGUCUUGGAAACAUUAAUAGAACAUUAAUAGAACUUUGACAGUAAAUUCCUGGAAUGUUUUGUGUUGUUAGGGUAUAAAUCCUCUUGUCGACUAAUUUAUCACUCUGUGUUUAUAUUUACAUCUUAAAAGACAUCAGAGGAUAACAAUUCGAAUUUUAGUUCUUGGCUCUCUUGACUAAUUAUCUAAACAAUUCUUUAAUGAAUCAUGAAGCCGGAUACUUCAUAUAAAUUUUGGAUACUUAAUAAUCAAUUAGCAAGAAACAAGUUCCGUCUUCUUUAAGCCACCUCAUUAAACAGUACGGUUAAACAGAUGGGAUGAUAUAUUUUUAAGUACCGCCACUCUAAUCAAUUACUCGUUAUUCUAAAUAUUUUUACAGGGCCGGCGAUAACGGGCCUGUAAGGGAUAUCCUGCAGGCAAGCGUCUCUGCUUGGAAGCGCCAAAAUGAGCUUUUUUUCUGCUGGUGUAAUUCAAAAUACUAAUUUAAAAAACCGAACGUCGCCUAUGCUAGUUUUGCAGGCGGACACCUAUUUCCUAGCACCGGGACUUUUUACUGAUACAAAAACCAAGGAUUAGUUCAUUGUAUACACCUAUAAUCUUUAAAUACCAAAUUUAACUUGAUUGAUAAGAAAUAUUUGAGAUUCAAUUUGCACUUUUAACCCUCUUCUUUGACUAUUGUGUGUAUAGUUACUUGGAAACUUAGAUUAACAAAACCGGUAGAUAUAACAUCGACUAGUGCGCAGCCUGUCCGUUUCCCCUUAAUCCCCACUCCUUUGUCCUGCCAAUCAAAACAGCAGACGGAGUAUAUCCCCUCCAGCACUGUCCGCCGGCAAUAACUUGUUCUCUGGUUUAAAUUUUUUUAUGUUAAAUUGUGUGAUUUUGAAAAUUAAGUUUUCGACUGUGUUAGUGACUUUAUUUUAUAAAAUGCCACAGUAUAUAAUCAAUAACUGUAUUUAUCAUUCAAGUUGCAAAUUGUGUGAAAGAUAAAAAGCCAGCUAACCUAUUUAGGUAAGUUUAAAAUAUUUUAUUUGUAAUAUUGUAGUCAUUCCUGGCCAUAUUUGUAUCGAGGGGAAGUGUUGGACGCUGUACUUCAGAACCGGACUUAUACAUUUUAAUACUAGCAAAAUACAUUUUAAAUAAAUUAGCGUCGAAUUGCAUUUCUGAUUCUUUCAAUACAUACUAUAAAUCAUAAAUGGUAUAAAAAUUGGGGAUUUAUAUUCAAUUUUACUUAAAGUGACCAUUUUGAUCCUGCAUCUUGAACUAAGAGAUUCAUUUAUGGGCAAUUGUAUUCCUUUGGAAAUGAUAGAUAUCAAUUAUGAAGCCUGGUGAAAUCAUAAAUAAAUCGUGUAGCAAGGAGAGAAUAGUAGAUGAAGUUGAUGACGCAUUGGACGAGAGCAAUGAUCUGUCUGAAAUUAUAUCUUGUAUAUAUGUUUCGGAAUAUAAAAAAGAAGUAAUAACACACAUUUCCGGCUACGUUGUGCGUAGAAUUUCAGCCCAGUUAAAAUGCGAGGACUGUAUUGAGAGCCUGUGUGGAGACAGAAAUGAUUUUUUGAUUUGAUUUAUUAAUCAGAAAGAUAAAUGGAAUGCAAUGCCUUACCCCUCAGCUGAUGUUAUUUUAAUUUGUAGCACUGCAGAAAAAAUUUUACAACAUUUUUAACCGUUGUAAAUAACGAAGUAUUUUAUAAUCUUUUAGAUAAAAAACUUUAUGAGGAUAACAAGAUCCAUUUCUCCGAGUAAAACUUUUUAACGUCACAUUUUUCUAAUUUAGUUAAAAUGAUUGUGUUAACCUACAUCAAUAUUAGAAUACACCAUUAUUAUAAAAUUUUAUUAGAUAAGACUGUCAGUAAGAGGAUACAGUUUAACAAAUUAACAUUAUUUUCUGGUUGCUAAUAUCACCACGUUUCGUUCGCCUAGGGCCUAAAAGAGUUCCGGAUGUGAAACAUAAGAUAGAGAGGUUUAGUGGGUAUUACAAGUGAGGAGCUAAUUUUCAUAACCCCACAUGUCCAAAAAUAUUUUUUUUUAGAGGAGAGAUGUUUCUAAUUCCUUAUUUUAAAACGCAUUGCCUGUCAUGUUUAUUGCUGAUCAAAAACCCAUAUUUCCAGUUGUAAUAUUAAUUUAAAAGUAGGUGUUUAAAGCAAAACCCCACAUCUGAUAUUUGACGGUUAUAGCAAAACCCCACAUUUUCUAUUCAUCCAUAGAGAAGUAAGUAUUCCAAUCACGUGACUUAAAUACAUGGUUUUGAUUUGAUUGUUAUUGUUGACAGUACACAAUCUUAGGUUAGUUUCAGAGGAAGGUUAUAAUUUAAUGUUGGUUUGUGCUUAAUUGAGUAAAAUUAUGAGUUUAAAUGAAGGUAAUUUAGAUAGUGAAUUAGUAUUAGUUGGAAGAGUAAGUUCUGGAUCACGAAAAAGACAAAAGACAGUUCCAAAGCGUUAACUUCGUAAGGAAAAGAGAUACGCUGCUCCUGCUGGUGGUUGUGUGUUCAUAGGUUGCUUACAUAAAGAUAAAGUUUUUAAAUGUUGUGUAGUUCGGCUUAGUGAUGCCCGUGCAUUUCCGAAGACUCUUUAUUCGAAACCCGAAAAACUUUUUCAGGACCAAUUAGUUGGUAGGUUCAUAAUAACAAAAAACGUUCAACGUCGGAGGUCCCGUUAUGCUAAACUAUAGUAAAUUGAUUUGAUCAAAACACCACAUAUCCAAACCUGUUAUGUUCAUAACCCCACAUGUGACAUGUGUUUCAUGCAUAAUCCCACAUCUAACAACUUUUAUAUCAAAUUUUUAUUUUGUUAUACCACUUUCUACACAAGUAAGUAGUUUUCUUAGCUCAUAAACCAAUACUGAAUUAUAAUUAUAUUACAUAAAUAUGUUGUGGUGAAAUAAUAUAGGUGAAUCGGUUUUUUUACUCUCCUGAAAAAAUAGCCAAUGUGGACAUGUAGGGUUAUGAAAAUUAGCUUCUCAAGUAUCGAGUCCCACACUACCUUAGAGCAAAAUACUAGACGCUAGGGUGUGCGUAAAUGCAUUCCUCUCUUGAAAAAAAGUUUACAAUACAUACAUAUAUACCUAUCGGUAAUAUCUGAAACACUUGCAAAUUCUAUAUUAUACUUUAAAUAAUAACGUAUUAUAUAAUAUAUUAUACUUUAAAUAAUAACGUAUAAGUACUCAUAUUAUAUUAAGUUUAAGUAUUAUAUUAAGUUUAAGUUGUUUUAAGUAAAUCAUUUAAUAAUUAAAUCGCCGGUAUUUUAUUAUUCCAAAAUUUUCCUGAAUACGUACCUGUCACCCCUCCCACCCACUUGUCCCAACUUGGAAUAUUUGGCAGCCUUUGCGCAUCUGUUUCUUGCCUGAACGUUAUAUCUUUCGUCUUCGUUAAUCUAAG